rnacentral:rRNA from 1 species
AGAGCGAACGCUGGCGGCAGGCCUAACACAUGCAAGUCGAGCGCCCGUAGCAAUACGGGAGCGGCAGACGGGAUAGUAACACGUGGGAACGCGCCCUUCGGUUCGGAAUAACUCAGGGAAACUUGAGCUAAUACCGGAUACGCCCUUACGGGGAAAGAUUUAUUGCCGAAGGAACGGCCCGCGUCCGAUUAGCUAGUUGGUGAGGCAAUGGCUCACCAAGGCGACGAUCGGUAGCUGGUCUGAGAGGAUGACCAGCAUCACUGGGACUGAGACACGGCCCAGACUCCUACGGGAGGCAGCAGUGGGGAAUAUUGGACAAUGGGCGCAAGCCUGAUCCAGCCAUGCCGCGUGGAUGAUGAAGGCCUUAGGGUUGUAAAGUCCUUUUAACGGGGAAGAUAAAUGACGGUACCCGUAGAAUAAGCCCGGCUAACUUCGCGCCAGCAGCCGC